rnacentral:rRNA from 1 species
GAUGAACGCUGGCGGCAGGCCUAACACAUGCAAGUCGAGCGAGCGGCGGACGGGUGAGUAAUGUCUGGGAAACUGCCUGAUGGAGGGGGAUAACUACUGGAAACGGUAGCUAAUACCGCAUACCAUCAGAUGUGCCCAUAUGGGAUUAGCUAGUAGGUGGGGUAACGGCGCACCUAGGCGACGAUCCCUAGCUGGUCUGAGAGGAUGACCAGCCACACUGGAACUGAUACACGGUCCUGACUCCUACGGGAGGCAGCAGUGGGGAAUAUUGCACAAUUGGCGCAAGCCUGAUGCAGCCAUGCCUCGUGUGUGAAGAAGGCCUUCGGGUUUUAAAGCGCUUUCAGCGGGGAGGCGUUACCCGCAGAAAAAGCACCGGCUAACUCCGUGCCAGCAGCCGCGGUAAUUC